rnacentral:rRNA from 1 species
AUUGAACGCUGGCGGAAUGCUUUACACAUGCAAGUCGAACGGCAGCACGGACUUCGGUCUGGUGGCGAGUGGCGAACGGGUGAGUAAUACAUCGGAACGUGCCCAGUCGUGGGGGAUAACGUAGCGAAAGCUACGCUAAUACCGCAUACGAUCUACGGAUGAAAGCGGGGGAUCGCAAGACCUAGCGAGAUUGGAGCGGCCGAUGGCAGAUUAGGUAGUUGGUGGGGUAAAGGCUCACCAAGCCGACGAUCUGUAGCUGGUCUGAGAGGACGACCAGCCACACUGGGACUGAGACACAGCCCAGACUCCUACGGGAGGCAGCAGUGGGGAAUUUUGGACAAUGGGCGCAAGCCUGAUCCAGCCAUUCCGCGUGCAGGAUGAAGGCCCUCGGGUUGUAAACUGCUUUUGUACGGAACGAAAAGGCUCUGGUUAAUACCCGGGGCUCAUGACGGUACCGUAAGAAUAAGCACCGGCUAACUACGUGCCAGCAGCCGCCGUAACAC